ACUCCUACGGGAGGCAGCAGUGGGAAUAUUGGACAAUGGGGGCAACCCUGAUCCAGCGAUGCCGCGUGUGUGAAGAAGGCCUGAGGGUUGUAAAGCACUUUUUAGUGGGGAGGAAAGUUAACAGGUUAAGAGCUAAGUUAAGUUGACGUUUACCCACCAUAAACAGCACCGGCUAACUCCGUGCCAGCAGCCGCGGUAAUACGGGGUGGC
rnacentral:rRNA from 1 species